rnacentral:lncRNA from 1 species
GAUAAUAAAAGGGACUUUCCGUGACUAUAUUGGAAUAUACGCCUAUGCAAAUGAGCAGUCGUCGCUUCCCUUAUAUACCAACUACUACGUGAGGCCCAUCAUGAACGCUGUGAGUUUGGAGAAGGCGGCUAAUGAUCUCCCAGUGCGCCUCUUUACCCAGACAGCACGGCAGGAUGAUUCAGCAGUGGCACGGCCGUGAUGCUGACAGCACUGUUGCCAAAAUGACUCAUCCUGAUGAUGAAGCCAAAGAAAGAAAAAGGAGAGAAAACCUCAUGCUGAAGAGGACAUGGAUCAAAGCAAGAUCAACUCACUGUGGAACUUUCUCACCAUCCUUUAUAAAACAAGUCAAAGUAUCCAUUCAUUAAUCACUACCCACCCAGCACAAAUAAACAGCUUGCACCAAGUAUCGACUAUAUGCAUUGUAAAGCGGAGCAUGGUCCAUAUGGGCAGCCACAAUGUGUCUCCCCUCUUUUCUCUAGUUUGGCCUCAAAACUGACAGUUGGUAGAUUAGUUAACCAAAAAAUGCAAGUAAUUCAUCAUGGAGACGGGGGUUUAAUGUAAACAGUAUGUUGCCCCUAGAGGUUGUUUCCAUGAUGAUGAAGGGAGGAGAUGAGCCAGAUGGAUCUCUGCAUACAAUUUAUGACGCCAAUAAAUCAGUAUAAAUGCAUAUGGUUCCACGACUGACACACACACACACACACACACACACACACACACACACACACACACACACACACACACACACACACACACACACACACACACACACACACACACACACACACACACACACACACACACACACACACACACACGUCUUUUAAGAGGUUCCCAAAAAGAACAAUGUGUCCAGUUCAUUAUGUUAUGUUAUUGACAGCGGCAGGGAGAGUGACUGGAGAGUAUGAAGUUAAAACUUCUUCGGGAUCGGUGUCCCUUCCACGGGACGGUUGAGCUAACGUAGGCUAAUGCGAUUAGCAUGAGGUUGUAAGUUACAAGAAAUUUCCCCAGGAGAUAGUCAUAUCUGAUAUUGGCAGAAAGCUUAAAUUCUUGUUAAUCUAACUGCACUGUCCAAAUUACAUUAGCUAUUACAGUGAAAGAAUAGCAUGCUAUUGAUUGAGGAGAGUGCACAAUUUUGAACAUGAAAAGAUUUUAAUAAACACAUUAGGCACAUUUGGGCAGUCUUGAUACAACAUUUUGAACAGAAAUGCAAUGGUUCAUUAGAUCAGUCUAAAACUUUGCACAUACACUGCUGCUAUGUAGUGGCCGAAAUCUAAUUUGCACCUGGGCUGGAAUAAUACAUUAUGGCCUUUCCCUUGAAUUUCAAAGAUGAUGGCACAUCAUAUUAUCUUUUACCAGAUCUAUUCUGUUAUAUUCUCCUACAUUCCUUUCACAUUUCCACAAACUUCAAAGUGUUUCCUUUCAAAUGGUACCAAGAAAAUGCAUAUCCUUGCUUCAGGGCCUUUGCUACAGGCAGUUAGAUUUGGGAAUGUCAUUUUAGAUGAAAAUUUAAGAAAAGGGGUGGAUCCUUCAUUUGAAAAACAUUACAGAAUUCACAAUACACUAAGUGUGCGCCUUCAGGCCCAUAUUUCACUUCCACAUAUCUACAACACAAAAUCCAUGUGUACAUGUGUGUGUAUAUGUCCCCAGCUAGCCAUGUUUCUGUGAAACGGAGUAUGUUACAAUCCCGGAUAUCUCUUUGGAAAGCAACUCUUGCCCUGAUUUUGUCAACUUUGUUAACUAGGGACUGGACAUUAGUGAGUAAUAUACUCGGGAAGCGGUGGGUGGUGUGUGCGCAUCCGAAGCCUCACUAGAAGACUGUUCCGGGCACUCUGUCCUCCGGCGGCGUUGUUUUGGGUCGGCCUCUGAAGUCAGUUCAAAUGCCCUGGGAGGUGCAGACAAAGGAUCCGCUUUGGGAAAGUCGUAUUCCUGGUCGUAGUGCUGGUUGUGCUGGUAAGUUGACGUCGCUCUGAUAUCCAAUAGUUCUUCCCGGUUGUAUGUAAUAACACUUAAGGUUUUCUGGGCUAACAAUGUAAGAAAUAAUACAUAAACAAAUACUGCACAGUUUCCUAAGGACUAGAAGCGAAGCUGCCAUCUCUAUUGGCGCCAUCUUGCUAAGCAUAUUGUCCAUGUGUCACGUCCUGACCCUAGUAAGAUGUCAUUUUCUAUAGUAGAGUAGGGCAGGGUGUGACGGGGUGUUUUGGGUUCUAUGUUUUCUAUUUCUAUGUUUUAGUUCUAGUUUUUCUAUUUCUAUGUUAGGAUUGUUUGGGGUUGAUCUCUAAUUGGAGGCAGCUGAUCCUCAUUGCCUCUGAUUAGAGAUCAUAUUUAAGUAGGGGUUUUUCUCAUUGUUGUUUGUGGGUUAUUCUUUUUUGAGUAGUGUGUUUUCCUCUGCGUCACGGUUUGUUGUUUUUGUGUUUUCAAGUUCUUUAUGUAUGGCAUUCAGUUUCAAGUCUAAUAAAUAUGUGGAACUACGAACACGCUGCAUUUUGGUCCAAUCCUUCGAACAGCCGUGACAGAAUAACCCACCAUAAAAGGACCAAGCGGCGUGAGGAGAAGUACUUGGAGUCGUGGACUUGGGAGGAAAUAUUAGACGGUAAAGGACCCUGGAGCCAGGCUGGGGAGUAUCGUCGCCCGAAGGAGGAACUAGAGGAAGCCAAGAGGGAGCGACGUUACUACGAAGCGCUAUAUCCACCUAUAAUCAAGGUGGAGAGGCAGACCCAUACAUUUUUUUUU